CUACACAAUACUGUGAUGCCACAUUUAGGCCGAAGGGGUGAACUUGGUGGCGUAGGCGAAGGCGUUGACAGCGCUGGGGUUGGCGAGGUGGUCAGACAGGUUCUCGAUGGGGCCCUUGCCGGUCACAAUGGCCUGCACGAAGAAGCCGAACAUGGAGAACAUGGCCAGGCGGCCGUUCUUGAUCUCCUUGACCUUGAGCUCGGCGAAGGUAUCCGGGUCGUCAGCCAGGCCCAGCGGGUCGAAGGCGCCACCGGGGUGAAGCGGGUCCAGGCCCUCACCCAGCGGGCCGCCGUUGGCGCGGUAAGCCUCAGCCAGGCCCAUCACGACCACCUGGAUGGGCAAGAGGGAGAGGGAAAGGUGUGUGGCAGGGUCGAAUGCAAUUGUCGGGAGCGGAUAAAAACCCAUUAGAGUUUGCCCUGAACCGAUAUGCUGAUGAGACCUACACGUCAUGUCUCAAUAGCUUUGGGGUAUUAACCCCCGGGACCAAGAUCCCAUAUGCGCUUAAAGGGUCACUUCUCAGUAUCCUCCGGUUACCUGGAAGGCCAGGGUGGCAAUAAUAGACUGGGCGUGGACCAGGUUCUCAUUGCCCAGGUAGUUCAGGCCGCCCUCAGCGAAGAUCUGGGCGCCGGCCUUGAACCAGACAGCCUCGCCGAACGAGACACCCGCGUACUUGGACAGCAGCUCGGGGGUCACGCAGCCCAGAGCGCCCAAC
rnacentral:lncRNA from 1 species